CAGAUUUCACGUAAUCUUCAGGAAGUAUAAUAUUCGUGUUAUAUGCAAAUGAUGCCAUUUUCCAUACAAUAUACCGUUUAUAUUUGAGAUUGAUAAAAUAACGUCAGUUUAAUGUAUCUGUAGCACGGGAAUCAAUUAAAUAAAUUUUCCUCGACAUUUUCGACAAUGAAAUUAUCUAUUCUUCUCGCCUUCUGCUUCCUCUGUUGCAUAGUGGUUUAUGGCAUUCGUGGCUUUUGUGGCAGACGAGGUUGUCCACGAAAUUCUACAGCUUGCAACAGUUAUUGCAACGAAAGAUACUCAAAUGCUUGUGGACGCUGUGGCAAAGUUCUCCACCAUUGCUGUUUCUGCAAAAAGCAUCGCAGUUAUUGCAAUCGAACGUCUGAUUUGCAGUAUAAUAAGUGAGAC